UCAGUACAGCUGUUUAUUUCACGCCGCCAUGAACGCUGUGGCGCUCAGCUGAUGACAGUGCACAUCCCAGGUGGCUCCUGUACACAUUCUUGUACACCUACACCUCCCUCCCCCUGCUGCACUAGGAUACCAGGGCACCCCUGAGAUGCAAGGGUAAACCUACUCGCCUGUAAACCACUAGCCUGUUUACACCAUGACGACUCCGGUACUUCAUAACCUCCACGACGAGCUCUUGUUGGUAGAGCGUGUGUUUCUUCGGAUUGGCUCGGCAGCAACAGAUGAUGUUUUGCAGGAAGAGUUGCUGAAAUUCCUAGCUCCUGUGAUUUUGAAAUUAGCAUCUCCACAUGAACCUGUUCGAAAGAAGGUGAUGGAAUUAUUGAUUCAUGUUAACCGCAGAGUUAAAGAGCAUGAAAGUAUCCAGCUGCCAGUGGAGUCACUCCUGGCUCAGUACCAGGAUCCCAGUGCCACGGCAUUUGUCACGAAUUUCUCGAUUAUCUACAUUAAGAUGGGAUAUCCCAGGCUGGACCUUAACAAGCAAGUAGAGCUGCUACCAUCCAUGCUUAACAGUUUGGAGGGUAAACCAGCUCAGCAUCAAGACAGUCUUCUGCUGUUGAUGGUGCCAGUGUUUGGUCAUAUGAAGAUUCCAGAAACUGCUGAAAAAACUGCAUCGCUGUUUGGUCUGCGGGAGAGGCCAGGAGUUGCUAAGCUGCUUCUUGACUUCAUGCUGGACAUCUUGCUUCUUCCCUAUGGUGCUACUCCACUGUCUCAGCAAAGAGUGAGUGAUGGAGCUGAAGAUAAUUCUGAUGGUCCUCCGGUUCCUGGUGUACCAGCAGGAAUGAGCAUCCACACCUUUAAACGAGUCAUAGGAGACGUGGCACCCAAACCUGAAGAUCUGGAGAAACUUAAAGUUUCAGUUAUUAAGUUCUUAAGUUCCGAAGUAUUGCCGCCUUCCUCUGUUGUGUUGCAGUUGAUUGUAGGAGCAGCCGAUACGAGGUUUUCUGUUGCCAAUGCAGCCGAGUUACAUCUAAAAAGAAUAGAUGGCAGUGUGGGAUGGAACAGCAGUGCAGUAAUUGCACCUCUGUAUGUUCUUUUUCUUGGCACUCUUAUGCCAAAAGAUAAAACCCCAGCAGAUAAGUUUAAAAACCCGGCUAAUACAAGAAUUCGAUUAAAGCUCAUGCCGUACCUUUUGAAGUCUAAAGAAGCAUGUAAUUAUGCCCCUCUUGCUCUGAAGGUGUUUUUUGAAUGCCUUUGGGGACAAAAUUCAAAUACAAAGUUGAAGCAACAGGGUGUAACAUUUCUGCAUCAUAUAGCAUUCAAUGCAGACAAGGACAAGCUAUCUCCCGUGGGAAGUGUACUUUUUGGUGGAGUUGUUAAGGUUAUUGAAGAAGAAAAAUGUGAUGCAAGACUGCGGUCACUAGCAUAUGGCGCUUUGGCAAAAUUAUCCGUUAAACUUCCAAACCUUCUGCUGUCGCAUCCAUCUCAGCUUCAUUACCUGCAAACCUUAAUGAAUGCUCUCACACAGGAGGAAGGAGAUGUCUUGCUGGCAGUGCAAGAGGCUCUGUCAAUGGUGGCACCUGUUUGUAAACAGCUUAAUACAUCAAGCCAGGAUGAACUUUGUAUUCUCCUGUCAGAACAUGUGUUGCAUCAUAAUGCCCAGCUAAGGCGUACAGCUGUCAAUUAUGCAGCAUCGGUAUUUCCUCACGACCAUGUUCCUUCCAGGUUCAUUCUCAUGGUGGCUACAGGAGACAGCCAUGAUGACAUCCGGAUAGAGUCACGAAGACAAUUAUAUAAAGCAUCCAAAGAAGCUAAAGAUGGAACUCCUUCAUUUCAAGCACCGCCAUUCUCGGCUGUCAUUACCUAUGUUCUGGAGCGUGUAGAUUCACUGCCAAGAAGUAAAUGGCAUGAUGUUGCCAACCAACCAGUUCCAUUUUCUCUUCCAGUAAUGGAGCAGAUGCUGAAAUAUCUAGAACACUGUUUGGAAGUUGAAGCAGGCAACCAGGGUGGGCGUGAGGAAGGGCUGCUAUGGGUCGACCCACCUGCCGUUGGAAAACUGCUCCACCAGAUUGUAGAACAACACCAGCAGAACGUGUCUUCUGGAGCUAUAUCAAAAACUCCCAACCCAUUCAUGAGAUACAUUGGCUUUGCUGAAUUGGCAGCCAAUGCUUGGUCUGCUGCAGCCUUGGAAUCAAUCCUAAGAGUGGUAGCUGUUGCUCCCGAACUUUUUGUUGCUCAUUAUUCCUUAAAAUUGGACUGGAUACGGAAAUUUAUCCUUCGUGGAGGCCAUUAUGGAGAGGUGGCAGCUCAUCUGUUUGGUGUGGUUUCUGGUCAAGUGCAGAGUCAGCAGGAGUUUGAGAAGGUCAUGUACCACAUUACCAACAUGAAAAAUUUGCGUGUGGACAGCCAAGAGAGCUGCGUGCUUGCAGUGGGCCACAGCUAUGCUUACAAUAUUAAUAAUAUGAAGAAAUCUGGUGUAUUCCUUGAAGACUGGCCAGCAUUCGAGUCUGUUGUUCAUGAGCUAGUGCGUCAGAUGGUGAGUGAGAACAGCCCCAUUCAAAAUGCUUUAGUGAUAGCAAUAGGAGAGAUGGCCAGGCAGAGCCCUCUGCCUCUACCAGUUGGUGUUGCUCAAGAGGACAGCAAGCAACUUUCAUCUCUUGCCUUGGUCAAUGCUCUUGUCAAGAUAUUCAAGACCAAAACACUGCCAUCUAAGGUUCGGGAACAAGCCAUUGCCACAACUGGAUAUCUUUGUGUUGGUCAUCAAGAAUUUCCUCACAAGAAAAAAAUUAUAGAAUCCCUGCUGUCUCUAGCUAAGGAGACAAGUGAAAUUGAAGUUCACUUUGCUGUUGGGGAGUCCCUGGCAGACUGUGCUCUUGGCACAGAGUCACCUUCAGGAAGAAAUCUCUGGAUUGAUGUGGAUCCCAUGAAAGAGGACACGGUUGAAGAGGUAGAAGAAAAUAUGGAAGAGGGUUGCAGAGAAGAAAAAGAAAAGGACACAGAUGAAGCUAUGGAAAAGGAUUACGUGAAGUCUGCAGAUAAGGCUCUCCCUGAUAUUGAUGAAGCAAUGGACACAAGUGAAGGUGCUGCCACAGGCGACGAUGUAGUUACAAACACACAAGUUGAGAAAGAUGUUUUGACGUGGGUUUUGGGUGAACUUCUUGAUAAAUAUGUUCGACAGACACAACCAAGUGUUAGACAGGCAUCGUGCAUCUGGCUUCUUGCUUUGCUGAAGAGGUGUCGCACAAAGCCAAUUAUUCAGCAACGACUAACUAGCAUCCAGCAAGCCUUCAUGAACCUUCUUGGUGACAAUAAUGAUUUAGUUCAAGAUGCAGCCUCAAAGGGCUUAGGUGUUGUAUAUGAAUGUUGUUCUGAGGCAACAAGACAGUCCAUGGUUGAAGGGCUGGUGCAGACUUUAACAGAAGGAAAACGAACCAUCAAGAAUAUUACUGACGACACUAAAAUUUUUCAAGAAGGAGAGUUGGGCAAAGCUCCAUCAGGAGCACAAUUGUCGACAUAUCGUGAACUGUGUUCUUUGGCAACAGACCUCAAUCAGCCUGACCUUAUCUACAAGUUCAUGAAUCUUGCCAAUCAUAAUUCAAUUUGGAAUUCUAAAAAGGGAGCAGCAUUUGGUUUUGGCACACUUGCAUCACAAGCUGGUGCCCAGCUGGAGCCAUACCUACCCCAGAUCAUCCCAAAAUUGUAUAGGUACCAGCACGACCCAACACCCAAGAUCCAGCAACCAAUGGCUGCUAUUUGGAAUGCUCUAGUCACUGAUAAUGCAAAAACUAUUGAGAAGUAUUAUGACCCAAUCCUGUGUGAUCUCAUUAGCAACUUAACUCAUAGCAUGUGGAGAGUACGUGAGUCAUCUUGCCAUGCCCUCACGGAUCUACUGCGGAGACAGUCGGCGGCUAAAGCAAUAAACAGAAUUACAGAAAUUUGGACAACUCUCUUUAGAGUGCGUGAUGACAUCAAAGAAUCUGUUAGACAAGCAGCAGAGAAAACAUUACAUGCAUUGAGUAAAAGUUGUAUCAAGGUAUGUGAAGGUACUGGUGAGCAGAGUGAGAAGAUGCUCAAGGAAGUACUUCCCACUCUAUUAACCUCAGGUAUUACCAGUACUGUAAGUGAAGUAAGAACCGUGAGUCUGCAGACCGUGUCCAAGUUAUGUCGCACGGGAGGCUCGAUGGUAAGGCCACAUUUGGGCACUCUCAUUCCUGCUCUUCUGGAAGCUCUCUCGGGACUUGAGUCUCAAGCUCUGAGUUAUACAUCUGUGAGGCUAAAUGAUGAUGACAGGGAGAAGUUGGAUGUGGCUCGAGUUGCUGCAGCACGAAGUACACCAAUGAUGGACACGUUGAAUUAUGUCUUGCAAUUUGUUGAUGAAAGUGCAAUGGAGAAAUUAGUAGUAGGUCUGGUGGAUGUUCUCAAGAGCUCUGUUGGUCUUGCAAGUCGUGCCGGUGCUGCUCAUGUUGUAGAGACAUUAACCCAUACCUGUCCUGCACCCUUAGAAAAAUACACAGGGAAACUCUUGGCUGCACUUGUUAAUGGUCUCAGUGAUAGAAAUCCUGUGGUGAGGAAGGUAUAUGCCAAUGCUAUAGGUAAUCUUGUUAAAACUGCCAAAGCUUCUAGUAUAGAAAAGAUUCUUACAAAAUUGCAGUUGUGGUACUUGGAGAAAGAUGAGGAUACUGUAAGGAUGAGUGGUGCCCUCACCAUCCGCAGUAUGCAUGCUCAAAAUAGUGAUAUUAUGAAACAACAUGCUUGCCAAGCUAUGCCACUGGCAUUUUUGGCUAUGCAUGCAGAGAAAACUAUUGAUGGUGAUCCUAGUGGUGUUGAAAUUUGGGAAGAAAUUUGGUCAGAUAAUACUCCUGGAACAGAAUCAGGAGUGAGGCUGUAUUUAAAUGAAAUCAUUUUGAUCUGUGAGCAAGCUCUUCAAAGUUCAAAUUGGGCAAUGAAGGCUCAAGCUGGCAGAGCCUUAUCAACAAUGUCUGAGAAACUUGGCUCAAGUAUGAAUGAUAGUCUUGUCACCUCCUUGAUCACUCUUCUCACCAACAGUCUACAAGGCAGAACAUGGAUUGGAAAAGAAUCUCUUGUAACCGCACUCUCAAAUGUAGCGAUGCACACCAAAUCAAUACUAGGUACCUUGAAGCACCCAAGCAGAGAUGAAUUGUUAGUGGAAGAUGUAGUGAAUGUCCUGACGAGGGAAGCCAGCAAGGAGAAGAUGGAAUAUAAGAUCCAUGCCAUAAAAGCCCUCACUACAGUUUUAGACACCUACCACAUUGACAGAUUUGAGCAAGUUUUUGACAUCUGUCUCCCAUAUUUGACACCUCAUUGCUCAGGUGAUGGAUGCCACAUCUACACUACAUAUGAUCAGUUACAGUGAGUCCUUGUUUGAACCAAGUAUAUGGGGCGAGGCCGAUUCGUUCCAUCGAGGAUUAUUUCUACCCGUCUGCCCCAGGCUAUCCCUUCCCCUCUAGGGCCCCAAAAAAAAGGGCGGCCUACAUCCACUAUAAAAAAAAUGAUUUAUGUAUUUAUCAUUUUGAAAAUGGCACUUUAUAGAGCAAUCAUUGGACAAGCAAGAUCAGGAAGACGCAGAUGAUGUAGAGCACAACAAAAAGCAAGAAUCAUUGCGGUGGGACCUUAUAGACGAGAUGGUACACUCCUUAGGGAGAGCUUGGCCUUUAUCCAAUGAUACCCAAG
rnacentral:misc_RNA from 1 species